AGGUGGAUGAGGAGAGAAUCCUAAGGCCGACGGAAGAAGCAUUGUUAAGGAAUUCGGCAAAAUGACCCCGUAACUUCGGGAGAAGGGGUGCCUGCGAGAGCAGGCCGCAGAGAAUAGGCUCAAGCAACUGUUUAGCAAAAACACAGGUCUAUGCGAAACCGAGAGGUGAAGUAUAUGGGCUGACGCCUGCCCGGUGCUGGAAGGUUAAGAGGAGAGGUUAGCGUAAGCGAAGCUUUGAAUUUAAGCCCCAGUAAACGGCGGCCGUAACGAUAACGGUCCUAAGGUAGCGAAAUUCCUUGUCGGGUAAGUUCCGACCCGCACGAAAGGCGUAAUGAUUUGAGCACUGUCUCGACAAUGCAUCCGGUGAAAUUGAAGUACCAGUGAAGAUGCUGGUUACCCGCGCCAGGACGGAAAGACCCCAUGGAGCUUUACUCCAGUUUGAUACUGGGAUUCGGUACUGCAUGUACAGGAUAGGUGGGAGACAAAGAAGGAUGGACGCCAGUCUGUCCGGAGUCGCUGUUGGGAUACCACCCCUGUAGUACUGGGUUUCUAACCAGUUGCCAUGAACUGGCAAUGGGACAAUGUCAGGCGGGGAGUUUGACUGGGGCGGUCGCCUCCGAAAGGGUAUCGGAGGCGCUCAAAGGUUCCCUCAGAAUGGUUGGAAACCAUUUGAAGAGUGCAAAGGCAGAAGGGAGCUUGACUGCGACACCAACGGGUGGAGCAGGUACGAAAGUAGGACUUAGUGAUCCGGUGGUAUAAAGUGGGAUUGCCAUCGCUCAACGGAUAAAAGCUACCCUGGGAUAACAGGCUUAUCACUCCCAAGAGUUCACAUCGACGGAGUGGUUUGGCACCUCGAUGUCGGCUCAUCGCAUCCUGGGGCUGUAGCAGGUCCCAAGGGUUGGGCUGUUCGCCCAUUAAAGCGGUACGCGAGCUGGGUUCAGAACGUCGUGAGACAGUUCGGUCCCUAUCCGGCGCGGGCGGAGGAUAUUUGAGAGGAGCUGUCCUUAAUACGAGAGGACCGGGAUGGACGGACCACUGGUGUAUCUGUUGUCGACCAACGGCAUGGCAGAGUAGCCAAGUCUGGAAGGGAUAAACGCUGAAGGCAUCUAAGCGUGAAGCCCCCCUCAAGAUGAGAUAUCCCUCCUUCGGGAGUAAGACCCCUUGAAGACUACAAGGUAGAUAGGGCAGAGGUGGAAGCAUGGCAACAUGUGGAGCUGACUGUUACUAAUAGGUUGAGGGCUUAACAA
rnacentral:rRNA from 1 species